rfam:Cephalotus follicularis DNA, scaffold: scaffold2575, isolate: St1.
AUAAAGGAUCUCAUAGGAUCCACAUCACUCAAACCAUAUAAUGAUC